rnacentral:rRNA from 1 species
GACGAACGCUGGCGGCGUGCUUAACACAUGCAAGUCGAACGGGCCCGCUCUCUUUUUUGGGGGUGGGUUGAGUGGCGAACGGGUGAGUAUCACGUGAGUAACCUGCCCCCUGCUCCUGGAUAACUGCUUGAAAGGGCGGCUAAUACGGGGUGUGCCGGCUGGUCCGCAUGGGCCUGGUCGGGAUAGUUUCAUCUUCGGGUGUUUCGGUGGGGGAUGGGCUCGCGGCCUAUCAGCUUGUUGGUGGGGUGAUGGCCCACCAAGGCGGUGACGGGUAGCCGGCCUGAGAGGGUGGGCGGCCACACUGGGACUGAGACACGGCCCAGACUCCUGCGGGAGGCAGCGGUGGGGGGUAUUGCACAAUGGGCGGAAGCCUGAUGCAGCGACGUCGCGUGAGGGAUGGAGGCCUUCGGGUUGUGAACCUCUUUCUCCGGUGGUGAAGGCCCUGUCCGUUGCGGCGGGGUUGACGGUAGCCGGGUAUGAAGCGCCGGCUAACUACGUG